AACGUAGGACGCAAGCGUUAUCCGGAUUUACUGGGCGUAAAGCGCGGGCAGGCGGCCUCGCAAGUCUGAUGUGAAAGCACUCUGCUCAACAGAGUGAUGCCAUUGGAAACUACGAGGCUGGAGUCUGGCAGAGGUAGGCGGAAUUCCGGGUGGAGUGGUGAAAUGCGUAGAGAUCCGGAGGAACACCAGAGGCGAAGGCGGCCUACUGGGCCAGUACUGACACUGAGGCACGAAAGCGUGGGGAGCAAACAGG
rnacentral:rRNA from 1 species